rnacentral:rRNA from 1 species
UACAGGGGGUGCAAACGUUGUUCGGAAUUACUGGGCGUAAAGGGCUCGUAGGCGGCCAACUAAGUCAGACGUGAAAUCCCUCAGCUUAACUGGGGAACUGCGUCUGAUACUGGAUGGCUUGGAUCCGGAAGAGGGAUGCGGAAUUCCAGGUGUAGCGGUGAAAUGCGUAGAUAUCUGGAAGGAACACCGGUGGCGAAGGCGGCAUCCUGGGCCGGUAUUGGACACUGAGGAGC